rnacentral:lncRNA from 1 species
AAGUUGUUAUUGUUUUAGGUGGAUUUAGCAAAAAAUAAGCAAGGUUUCAUCCAUUGUAGUGGAAACGAACAUCCAGCAGUCAAAUUCAAAAUCGUUGAAACUUAGAAUAAAAAAGAGGGUGGAUUUAGCAAAAAAUAAGCAAGGUUUCAUCCAUUGUAGUGGAAACGAACAUCCAGCAGUCAAAUUCAAAAUCGUUGAAACUUAGAAUAAAAAAGAGGGUGGAUUUAACAAGAAAUAAGCAAGGUUUCAUCCAUUGCAGUGGAAACGAACACCCAGCAGCCAAAUUCAAAAUCGUUGAAACUUAGAACAAAAAAGAGGGUGGAUUUAGCAAGAAAUAAGCAAGGUUUCAUCCAUUGCAGUGGAAUCGAACAUCCAGCAGCCAAAUUCAAAAUCGUUGAAACUUAGAAUUAAAAAAGAGGGUGGAUUUAGCAAGAAAUAAGCAAGGUUUCAUCCAUUGCAGUGGAAACGAACACCCAGCAGCCAAAUUCAAAAUCGUUGAAACUUAGAACAAAAAAGAG